AGAAAUAGGAUGGUCUUAGUAACUGAAGAGCUUGUGGGCCUCUCAUUAAUUGUAUUUUCCUCAGCUCUGGAGAAGCAACACUACCAUGACUUGUGUUUUGUGUUGUGUUCCUUUGUUUUUCUAUAUGGUUUUAUUGUACACACAUAGACCUGCACACACACAUACCUAAGAAUGUUUUUGCAUGUUUUUGACAUGUACUUAAUUGAAAUCAUACUUUGAAAUCUAUUGCUUACUUUUCCAGCACUGAGGUUCAUCUGUAUGGAUAUAUUCAUGUUGGUGUAUCAGCCAUAAUCCAUUCUUUUUCACUGCUUUGUAGUAUUCUAUUAUCUGAAUAUUCCAUUUAAUUCAUUCUGUGUGUUGAUGAGCACAUUGUGUUCCGAGGUUCUUAUUUUAUCUAGAGUAUUCAGAACCAGUCUGACAAUUGUUACUUUUAACUGCCCCACUGGCCUCCUCUCAGACCUUCAAGCUAUGUUGACUGCUGCAGAGGUUGGCUCUUUCUCGGCAAUGAUGGAAAUAAAAAGAG